CAAGCAAAUCCCAUAAAGUUGUUCUCAGUUCGGAUUGUAGUCUGCAACUCGACUACAUGAAGCUGGAAUCGCUAGUAAUCGUAGAUCAGCAUGCUACGGUGAAUACGUUCCCGGGUCUUGUACACACCGCCCGUCACACCACGAGAGUUUGUAACACCCGAAGCCGGUGGAGUAACCAUUUUGGAGCUAGCCGUCGAAGGUGGGACAAAUGAUUGGGGUGAAGUCGUAACAAGGUAGCCGUAUCGGAAGGUGCGGCUGGAUCACCUCCUUUCUAAGGA
rnacentral:rRNA from 1 species